GGGUGCAUGGUCUAGCGGUAUGAUUUUCGCUUCGCAUCCGCGAGUAUGUGAAAGGUCCCCGGUUCAAUCCCGGGUGCAUCCA